UGAGAAUAACUGUAAUCUCAGCCUCUUUU
rnacentral:piRNA from 1 species